rnacentral:rRNA from 1 species
CCUACGGGAGGCUGCAGUGAGGAAUCUUGGUCAAUGGACGAGAGUCUGAACCCGCCAAGUAGCGUGAAGGAUGACUGCCCUAUGGGUUGUAAACUUCUUUUAUCUGGGAAUAAAAUGUUCCCCGUGUGGGAUUUUGUAUGUACCAUAUGCAUAAGGAUCGUCUAACUCCGUGCCAGCAGCCGCGGUAAUCCGGAGGAUCCUCGCGUUAUCCGGAUUUAUUUGGUUUAAAGGGAGCGUAGGUGGAUUGUUAAGUCAGUUGUGAAUGUUUGCGGCGCAACCGUAAAAUUGCAGUUGAAACGGGCAGUCUUGAGGACAGUAGAGGUGGGCGGAAUUCGUGGUGUAGCGGUGAAAUGCUUAGAUAUCACGAAGAACUCCGAUUGCGAAGGCAGCUCACUGGACUGCAACUGACACUGAGGCUCGAAAGUGUGGGUAUCAAACAGGAUUAGAUACCCUUGUAGUC